rnacentral:rRNA from 1 species
GAUGAACGCUGGCGGCGUGCCUAAUACAUGCAAGUCGAGCGAACGGACGAGAAGCUUGCUUCUCUGAUGUUAGCGGCGGACGGGUGAGUAACACGUGGAUAACCUACCUAUAAGACUGGGAUAACUUCGGGAAACCGGAUCUAAUACCGGAUAAUAUUUUGAACCGCAUGGUUCAAAAGUGAAAGACGGUCUUGCUGUCACUUAUAGAUGGAUCCGCGCUGCAUUAGCUAGUUGGUAAGGUAACGGCUUACCAAGGCAACGAUGCAUAGCCGACCUGAGAGGGUGAUCGGCCACACUGGAACUGAGACGCGGUCCAGACUCCUACGGGAGGCAGCAGUAGGGAAUCGUCCGCAAUGGGCGAAAGCCUGACGGAGCAACGCCGCGUGAGUGAUGAAGGUCUUCGGGUCGUAAAACUCUGUUAUUAGGGAAGAACAUAUGUGUAAGUAACUGUGCACAUCUUGACGGUACCUAAUAAGAAAGCCACGGCUAACUACGUG